rnacentral:rRNA from 1 species
AACUUUGGACAAUGGGCGCAAGCCUGAUCCAGCCAUGCCGCGUGAGUGAAGAAGGAGUUCGGGUUNUAAAGCUCUUUCGGACGGAANGAAAUCGCGCACGCUAAUACCCUGCGCGGAUUCCGGUACCGUCAUAAGAAGCACCGGCUAACUACGUGCCAGCAGCCGCGGUAAUACGUAUGGUGCGAGCGUUAAUCGGAAUUACUGGGCGUAAAGCGUGCGCAGGCGGUUGAUUAAGACUGGCGUUGAAUCCCCGGGCUUAACCUGGGAACUGCGCUUGUGACUGGUCAGCUAGAGUACGGCAGAGGGUGGGGGAAUUCCACGUGUAGCAGUGAAAUGCGUAGAGAUGUGGAGGAACACCGAUGGCGAAGGCAGCCCACUGGGCCGAUACUGACGCUCAUGCACGAAAGCGUGGGUAGCAAACAGG